ensembl:snRNA U4 U4 spliceosomal RNA
AUUCUUUCGCAGAGGCGAUAUCAUAGCCUAUGAAGUCCAUCUGAGGCAUGAUUAUUGCUGGUUGAAAACUUAACCCAAUACCCCGCUUGGGAUGACUUGAAAUAUAGUCAGCCUUGGCAAUUUUUGAUAGUCUGAUGUGAGA